CCUUUGUCUACUACUUUGCGCUCCAGCAUCCAGCGGUUGAAAGAUUCUCGGGGUGGCUCAAUGCCUGUGAGACAAGAGAGCUGCUAAGGACCCGGAGUAGUCGGCGGAGUCCACUGAGACAGGAAAAGGCGUACAAGCGGCAGACACACCGAGAAGCACUCAGCAUCACAGAGCUGGGACCCCAACAGGUCCGCGUCCCUGCAGCACACACCAGUUCCCACCCACACCCAAGUGGUGACGCCACGGCAGGCUGCAGAGCCCUCACCCUCCCGCUGCUGGCACAGCUCCCGGUAGUGCUGGCGGAGCUUCAGGAUGAGCUGCGAGCGGAGCAGCUCGACCUCAGGGUGUGGGGGCAGGACCUCGGAAGGAGCCCUGUGCUUGAUGACAGCAUUGGUCUGGAUGUCCAGGUCCCAGUACACCCUAGGGCACAGACAGGAGUUGUGAGGAUGGCCUGCCCACCACUACCACACCACACAGUCCUGGGCAGGCUGCCCAUCAGCAGCGGAUACAGCUAAGCCAGUCAGCAAGGACUCACUCAGUGGGUCGGAGGAGAGCUGCUUGCUUAUCUUCAGCAGAUGCACCCCAAAUCUUUAGUGUUGGGGUUCCUGGGAUGCUGGGGGAACUGGGCACCGACUGGCUUGUGGGUGUCACAGGUAUUUCUAUCUGAAGGAAAAGAAUCCAAAAGGCAUCAAGGCAGGACUGCAGCCAGGCCCAGCAGCAUGCCCAGCAGCUGCACUUGGGACUCCCUCGUGACCCAGCCCUCGCAGGGAGCUGCUGGCCACAUGCCCAAGGUAACCACUUAGCAGCCAGGUCCUGAGAGCCCCGACACUCACCUUGGGCUUCUUCACACCGUUGCCACUUGGCUGCUCUUCCGAGAGCUGCCGCUUCCUGGGCUUGUUCUCCACUGGAGGAGUUUCCAAGCUUGAGUCUUGGGGCAGUGGGGUUGCAUUCAGCCCCAAAGGGUCCGACUAGUGGAGGGAAAACAGUGGAACUGCAAACAGGGCCAGUGGCUUAGGAGCCCCACACUUCAGACUCUUCCUUAAGGAGGCCAAAGGCCUGGGAUGCAGAUGAAAAACCCUGGCCUCCAUCCUGCCUGCUACCUGCUUCCUUAUGCCCUCACCUUCAGAAAGGCCACGUCAGCCCCACCUCAGCACUGACAUUGUGACACAAGUCAGUGAGUGACUUGGUAUGAUGUCUGUGUUAGAUCAGCGCCUCAAGAACAAAUAGCAAUCAGGAAUCAAGAGAAGUCAGCGAAUGUUAUUUUUCAGAUACAAAGGCUCUGCAUGGACCUCCUUUAGCCACACCAAGAAUCGCUGCAGACACCCCUCUGCCUACAAGCAGCCAUAUGGCCUCGGGCCAGCUACUUCCCUUUGAACCUCACUGUCUUCACCUGCAAAAAGAAGAGGCCCUGCCUGACUGUGUAUAGUAAGGGUUGCUCCAGCUGAGGGGUCCAAGAGCUGAGGUUCCUACCAGAUAGCCUGUGGUUAGACUCCUAGAACAUUCUCUCCCCCUUAGCCAGCAGCCCUGAAACCCUGAUUCUCAGAGGAGCUCUUCCUUCUCUUCCCAGACCAGGAUCCCCAAUGGAUUUCAAUACAUUCUUUAAGUCCACAACUGGAAUCCUACUAUCUGCCACAGAAUAAGCAUACCACAAAGACGGGGAGCUCUUGCUGACGUCUCUAUCUCUUUGCAUGGUGCCCGGUAUUCAGCAUACACUAAUAAUCUGCUCCCCUGUCUCUCCUGAUUGAUGAUAGGGUCCCUGAAGACAGGGGCUGUCUUGCUUGACAUUUUAACUGUAGGUAUCAGCACAGGGCAAGACACCUAGCUGUUUGAGAUACAUUUGUGGAAGGCCAGAGGCCUGCUCUGAGACCCUUGCCCCAAGUUGGCACUCACAAGCACAUCGUGCUGGCCCAGCACGGGCAUCUCCCACAGGGACUGGUUGGUGAAUCGGUUGAAGUAGUAAGGACGGCUCUCCCUCCGGCUCCAGCACUUCUCCCAGCCUGCAUGUACCAGCUCCUCUGCAAACAAGAGGACAACCCAGACCGUCAGGGCUGUGCACAGCACCCCUGCUAUCUUACCAGCCCCCACCACUCCCUUCAGUACCUGGGAGGUCCUGUACUAGGCGAACUGGCUUUGGAGAACAGGGCUGGCUCUGAUUGGAGGUGCCUGGAGAGUGACUUAGAAGGGAUGCUUCCUCCCGGGGGCUGCCGUGAUUCUCAUUGGCCAUCUCAGCAGCCACUCGGGACCUGCCACACAGAGGACCAAGAGUGUCAACACCAUCCUACUCACCAAUUACAACUAAGGGCUCUGGCAACUUAUCUACAGAUUUGAGAAAUCCAACACAGUCUUGUCCUGGCAGCCAGCCAACUGGUGCCACAGGAGCAGUGAAGUUGAAGUUUCUGUCCCUCAACUUUAAGAUAGGGUGCCCGCCUAGCCAAUCUUCCCCCUUAAUGGCCUGGCUUGCCCUUGGGCUCACAUCUUCCAGGAAGGCACUUUCCUGCCUCCCUGCCCAGGUUUGGUGGACAAAGCUAUUGCAGUGUCACUGAAAAUGCACGGUAGUGCCUGAAUGGCUAGACCUACCGUGGGACUGUCUCAUUAGACUGGGUCCAGUACAUUGCUCUCCAGAGCUACAAAUGCCGCCUGGACCCAAAGGAGCUCUACUAACCCUGCAGACAUUUACAAAACACCAAGGGGCCAACAAGACCAAGGUCUGCCUUUGAAAAGUCACUUCUACAAGGACCAGUGCCUGCUCCUCUUGGGAAGACAGUUUUAUUGCUCCCACUAGGUAAAGUCCCAGUGGGUCAGCUGGGGAGGAAGCGUGGACUCUGGUUGUAGUUUGUUGCUAAGGAAACCAGUGUAACUGAAGAGGGCUAUCUGGGUCAGUCCUUCCGAAGCCCCAGGUUAACACGGAAGCCAGCUUCUUCAGGUCUGGAUUUCCCACUCCUCCCUCCCAGAGCACACCCAGCACAACCCUCAACGGCCGGUGCUUCCCAGUCUGGGACCUACUACACACCUGGGGGCCGCCUGAGAUCAGACUGGGGAUGCUCAUGUUGUCUUUAGUAUGUUACAGAGCCCACAAGAAACCCUCACCCACAGUGAGACCACAGAGGCUGACAGAAAGGUUUUCUGUUUUCUGUGCAUGCUGAUCAGGAUCCCUGACUGUUGACGACCACAUAGCAAUCAUUGAACAUUUAUUUUAUUGUACACUCAGAGACGUCUGUUAAUUUGGAAAGGGAAAAGUCAAUAGAUACUUUUAUCUGUACAGUUUGGCGGAUAAAAAUUGCAGCAGCAACAAGACAUGUAUAACAAGAGGGCCUUGAUUACAGAAAGGUUUGGAAUGACUCCUUUAGGGGCUGAGCCCAUGGGUUUCAAGGCUGAAUAAGGUCCCCUUUUCUCUCACCCUCUGGGGUCUGCAACACUAGCAUGAGAGGGUUUUCUUCUCUGGUUGGAUUGAACCCACGUCACGGGGUCCCACAGAAGCGGGAGGGAGACCCACAGGAAGGUGCAGCACAGGUGGGUGGGCUGGUCAGCAGUGUAGACAGGGACCCCGGGGACUCCGUGCAUCAGCAGCUGGAGAGCAAAUAGAAGAAAAGAGUCAUUGGCCUGUGACACCUUACUAGGCAGGGACAAAGACACACUGGGAGGGUCUGGAGGCUCCAGGAAUCAAGAUCAAGACAAGCCCAGUUGAUAAUAGCGUGAACCUGUCUAAAUAAAUGUGCUGAAACAGA